CGGAAACUUAAGCACAACAAUUAAUAAGAUGAAUAAAGUGAGCAGAAACUUUUUCAGAUGACUCAAAGAAAGAACAUUUGAAACUUAAAUGAGACAACCCUUGACUAAGGAAAACUGUCUGAAGAGCCACGCCCUAGGUCCAGCCCUCCCUCUAGCACUGUAAAGUGGAGCUGACAACCACAUGUGUCUGGACUUUGUCCCAUAAUGGUGCAUGGGCGCCCACAGAUACCCAGAGGGCAGUGGGGACAAAGAUCUAGUUUGGAGAAUGAAACCAUAAACAAAAACUAGAAGAAAAUAAAAACUGAAGCCAUUAUUUAAUGAUGACUAUACAAAAGGCAAGAGGCACAAAUUUCCACGUGAAUUUUAAUGGUCUCUCCUCUAAGACAAAUCAUUCAGAAA